rnacentral:rRNA from 1 species
GUGGGGAAUAUUGGACAAUGGGGGGAACCCUGAUCCAGCCAUGCCGCGUGUGUGAAGAAGGCCUUUUGGUUGUAAAGCACUUUAAGCGAGGAGGAGGCUACCGAGAUUAAUACUCUUGGAUAGUGGACGUUACUCGCAGAAUAAGCACCGGCUAACUCUGUGCCAGCAGCCGCGGUAAUACAGAGGGUGCAAGCGUUAAUCGGAUUUACUGGGCGUAAAGCGCGCGUAGGUGGCCCAUUAAGUCAAAUGUGAAAUCCCCGAGCUUAACUUGGGAAUUGCAUUCGAUACUGGUUGGCUAGAGUAUGGGAGAGGAUGGUAGAAUUCCAGGUGUAGCGGUGAAAUGCGUAGAGAUCUGGAGGAAUACCGAUGGCGAAGGCAGCCAUCUGGCCUAAUACUGACACUGAGGUGCGAAAGCAUGGGGAGCAAACAGGAUUAGAAACCCCUGUAGUCC